rnacentral:rRNA from 2 species
ACGACUCUCGGCAACGGAUAUCUCGGCUCUUGCAUCGAUGAAGAACGUAGCGAAAUGCGAUACUUGGUGUGAAUUGCAGAAUCCCGUGAACCAUCGAGUUUUUGAACGCAAGUUGCGCCCGAUACCAUUAGGUUGAGGGCACGUCUGCCUGGG